rnacentral:tRNA from 1 species
CAAUUUUGUGAAACUUAAAACUUUGAAUUUUAAACUGGUCAUACAACCUCACAAAAUUGA